CUCCUGCAUGUACAAUCACAAGAUGCCAUAAGGUACAAAUAUAUGCAGGAAUCAGAAAGACAACUUGAUUAUGUGAAGUACCCCUCCAGAUUGAUGAUGCGCACUAAGAACUUGAAGUUGUCCAGCUUGCCUGAUAAACAGAAGGACAAAUCAAUCAGAUAUGUAAAGCAUCAGAAUGAAUUCCCGCUUGAAUAUUAGUUGGUCCGACAAGAGAUACAUAAAUAAAUUCAAGAAGAUAUCCUUCCUCUAUCAAAUUCUUAAAUUUUUACCAAAUCCUCCGACCCUCCCCGGCCAGUUCAAUAACUUUCACAAGAUAGCAAUUCAUCACAGAAUAUUUUAAGAAGAAUCUGCUGCUUAGCAAUUCUCCUUUCAACUUAGCAAUUCUUCUUUCAUGAACUUUGAGUUAUUAUGUUAUGAUUCUACUUGGGGGGUGUUCGGUUAGGAGUCUUGACAUUCCCUUUACCCAUAUUUCUGUUUGAGUUUACCCCAAAUUGCUCUACAUUGAUUCCGCAAACUGCCAAACCCCCCAGCAAGGUUUUGGAUUCCCCAAUAUCUACACCAUAACCAACCUUGACCACCACCCUUCCACCAUCACCAUCUGAAAAUUGACCCCACCCACCCCCACAAACCACCACACUGCUGCCAAGCCUACCUCAAGGGCCAAUGCCGACACCACCAGCGAUCCCACCCCACACCUCACCUCAAGAUCAUAGAGAAGGCGACACGAUAGGUGAGAGAAGGAGAACCACCAGAUAAGGAGAAACAAGAUAUGAGAGAGAAGAAACGAGUGGAGAAAGGAGAACCACAAGAGAAGCAAACGCCAAUGAGGAAAGAGAGGACACACGACAAGAGAUGUUGUCAGUGAACUUAAAGUCUUAAACUCAGUCGCCAAUAGUGCAUUGUAGUUGUCACGGGUGAAAGAGAGAGAAAAAGAUGGAGGGUGAAGAGGGUUUGUGACCCUUUCUAGUGCAUAACCAAACACGUAAGAGAAUUGUGGGGUUUAGAAUUCCUUACCUUUACCUAGCCCCUUCUAGAUUCUUUUCCCAUUGCCCUCUCCCAACCAAACGUCCCCUUAGCUUAAAACGAAUAAUAACAGUUCUUAUUAGUAAAAAACAAUUUCAAUCAGCAAAAAUCAAUUUUAAUUUGUAAAAAUCAGUUUUCAUACAAAAAUAAAUUUUAAGCAAUGAAAACAAUUUCAAUUCAAUAAGAUACAUGUGAAGUGUGCAGAACUAGUAUGUGGCACAUUUUAAUGAUAACAAUUGAUAUCAUGAUUUAUGUGUUCUACUAUGUAUUUACUUCCCUUAGAGCGUUAUCGGGUAUUUUAUGUUUUGUGGAUGUUGGAAGAAAACUUUUUUUCUCCUUUACAUGCUUGCGUGUGUGUGGCCGGACUUUAGCGGAGCAUGAUGGUGGCUUGGAUUGGUACUGGUGUGGUGUUGUGGAAGUACAGUGGGCUGGGCAGUCAAGGUGAGGUGCUGGGGUUUGCUGGGGGACUACUUCAAGGGCAGCAAGCUAGACAGGGUGGAGUAGGUGGCUGGUACCUCUGCACAGUAGAAUGCGAGCAGACAAGAAACUAGUGCUGUGUCAUGGGAGUGCGUGGGCUAGUGUAGGCUGUCGUGUGGCUUGACUGAGUGAAAGGGAAAUGAAGAUAUAUAUCUGCGAAUAGGAGCCUUGAAGCGAAGCCUUAUUCUCUUCCAAAACUAAGAAUUCAAAUUCAUAAAAUAGAGUUUAGUAAUAUGAAUAUACCACACCAAUUCCUUAUAUAUGGAUGAUGAGAUUCCAUUGAUACAGAGCCAAUUCCAAUAGACUUACUAGAGGGUCCCAUUGGCGUGCAUCCGGUAGGAAUUGAACCUACGAAUUCGCCAAUUAUGAGUUUGGCGCUUUAACCAUUCAGCCAUGGAUGCUUAGCGGGGAUCCUCGUACAUGGUGAAUAAGCGUCUGGUAGGCUGUUGCAGGUAGGGGUGCUCCUAUCCUCUUGUCUGCACACUGAAGAGCAACUGGACUCGGGCAUGUGUGUAUCAUUGCUUGUCUUCUAAUCGCAAAUCUAAAGUUGGCGGAUGAUAUUAAAUUUAAAUCGAGCAUCCAAAAGGUAAUAUUCAAAGGAAUAGUUGAUCAAUGGAGAAGAACAUGCCAACCUCUAGGGAGCUUUCGUGAAAGGUUAUUGAUUUGAUUUGUCAUCCCUUCCUCAGUUGCGGCUACAAUCGAGAUCUAGAUUGAAGACUUUGCACACUAAGACUACAGAGGAAUUCUCAAAUUUGUGGACAUGGGCGAAGCAAAGAAGGGACCAAGGGUGGCCAUGACCCUCCUCCCCCGAGUGUUUCAUUAUAUUGUUGUGAAAUUAGACGUUUGCUAUAUUUUUUUAAAAUCUAAUACCAGUUAUUCCGGCCCCCUGGUCAGUUAUUUGGCUCCCUUAUAUUAGAGUUUUGGCUUCGCCCUUGUUUGUGGAUACGGACACUAGAACUGUGAGAGAUUUCCCUGCUUGUUUUGUAACAUAUAAGUUAUUUCACAUAGGGUUUUUUCAUCUGUGAUUAAUUUGUUUUAUCUACCUUUCAUGUUCUGUUUCUUUUUUAGUGAUUCAUUAUUUAAUUAAUCUUUUUUACUGAUUAUGCUGCAAAAGCUAUUACAUUUAAUUAAAUGAAGCUCCCAAUAGUGCUAACAUGAUUUUAUAUGCUUUCCUUUUUCAACUCGUAAGAACUUCUAGUUGCUCAAACUGACGUGGAUGAUGGUUUUUUUAAUUGCAGAAGUUAAGCUAAUAAUGGAUUUUGGGGCUUGAGAUUCUGAGGAGACUAGAUAAUAUAGUGUUUCCUAUAAUCUAGAUAGUUAUCUAUUUUUGAGGUUUCAUUGUUAGUUUGGAAGUUCAGUUAAACUUUAUUUAGAGUUAAGUUGUACUAAACUAGUUAAACCUUGGUUGUUUUAGUGACAUUUCAAAUGACGGAAUUUUUGCUAUUUGUGCUUCAUCCUUGGAUGAUAUUAUAUAUUAAAUUCGUUUUUGUCU